rnacentral:rRNA from 1 species
CUGGCGGCGUGCUUAACCAUGCAAGUCGAACGGUGAAGCCCAGCUUGCUGGGUGGAUCAGUGGCGAACGGGUGAGUAACACGUGAGCAAUCUGCCCCUGACUCUGGGAUAAGCGCUGGAAACGGCGUCUAAUACUGGAUACGAACCGUGGAGGCAUCUUCAACGGUUGGAAAGAUUUUUUGGUCAGGGAUGAGCUCGCGGCCUAUCAGCUUGUUGGUGAGGUAAUGGCUCACCAAGGCGUCGACGGGUAGCCGGCCUGAGAGGGUGACCGGCCACACUGGGACUGAGACACGGCCCAGACUCCUACGGGAGGCAGCAGUGGGGAAUAUUGCACAAUGGGCGCAAGCCUGAUGCAGCAACGCCGCGUGAGGGAUGACGGCCUUCGGGUUGUAAACCUCUUUUAGCAGGGAAGAAGCGAAAGUGACGGUACCUGCAGAAAAAGCGCCGGCUAACUACGUGCCAGCAGCCGCGGUAAUACGUAGGGCGCAAGCGUUAUCCGGGAAUUAUUGGGCGUAAAGAGCUCGUAGGCGGUUUGUCGCGUCUGCUGUGAAAUCCCGAGGCUCAACUUCGGGUCUGCAGUGGGUACGGGCAGACUAGAGUGCGGUAGGGGAGAUUGGAAUUCCUGGUGUAGCGGUGGAAUGCGCAGAUAUCAGGAGGAACACCGAUGGCGAAGGCAGAUCUCUGGGCCGUAACUGACGCUGAGGAGCGAAAGGGUGGGGAGCAAACAGGCUUAGAUACCCUGGUAGUCCACCCCGUAAACGUUGGGAACUAGUUGUGGGGUCCAUUCCACGGAUUCCGUGACGCAGCUAACGCAUUAAGUUCCCCGCCUGGGGAGUACGGCCGCAAGGCUAAAACUCAAAGGAAUUGACGGGGACCCGCACAAGCGGCGGAGCAUGCGGAUUAAUUCGAUGCAACGCGAAGAACCUUACCAAGGCUUGACAUAUACGAGAACGCUGCAGAAAUGUAGAACUCUUUGGACACUCGUAAACAGGUGGUGCAUGGUUGUCGUCAGCUCGUGUCGUGAGAUGUUGGGUUAAGUCCCGCAACGAGCGCAACCCUCGUUCUAUGUUGCCAGCACGUAAUGGUGGGAACUUCAUGGGAUACUGCCGGGGUCAACUCGGANNNGGAAGGUGGGGAUGACGUCAAAUCAUCAUGCCCCUUAUGUCUUGGGCUUCACGCAUGCUACAAUGGCCGGUACAAAGGGCUGCAAUACCGUAAGGUGGAGCGAAUCCCAAAAAGCCGGUCCCAGUUCGGAUUGAGGUCUGCAACUCGACCUCAUGAAGUCGGAGUCGCUAGUAAUCGCAGAUCAGCAACGCUGCGGUGAAUACGUUCCCGGGUCUUGUACACACCGCCCGUCAAGUCAUGAAAGUCGGUAACACCUGAAGCCGGUGGCCCAACCCUUGUGGAGGGAGCCGUCGAA